UACGAGGGGGGCAAGCGUUAUUCUAAAUGACUGGGCGUAAAGGGCUCGUAGGCGGUUUGUCGCGUCGGGAGUGAAAUCCACUGGCUUAACUGGUGGCUUGCUUUCGAUACGGGCAGACUGGAGGUAUGCAGGGGAGAACGGAAUUCCUGGUGUAGCGGUGAAAUGCGCAGAUAUCAGGAGGAACACCGGUGGCGAAGGCGGUUCUCUGGGCCGAUACUGACGCUGAGGAGCGAAAGCGUGGGGAGCGAACAGG
rnacentral:rRNA from 1 species